rnacentral:piRNA from 1 species
AAAAAAUGAAAUAAGUGUGGU